rnacentral:rRNA from 1 species
GGAAUUGGGGUUAGAGUUUGAUGUGGGUUAGAUUGAAAGGUGGGGGGAGGGUUAAAAAAUGCAAGUAGAAAGGUAGGAGGAGAAAGUUGGUUUUUUGGUGAGGAGUGGGGGAAGGGUGAGUAAUGUUUGGGAAUUUGGGCUAUGGAGGGGGGAUAAAGAGGGGAAAAUGUUGGUAAUACCGCGUAUUAUCGGAAGAUGAAAGUGCGAGACUUAGAGGCCGCAUGCAUAGGAUGAGCCCAAGUGGGAUUAGGUAGUUGGUGGGGUAAAGGCCUAACAAGCCUGCGAUCUCUAGCUGGUUCUGAGAGGAUGACCAGCCACACUGGAACUGAGACACGGUCCAGACUCCUACGGGAGGCAGCAGUGGGGAAUAUUCCGCAAUGGGGGGAACCCUCACGCAGCCAUGCCCGUUAAAUGAAGAAGGCCUUAGGGUUGUAAAGUUCUUUCGGUAUUGAGGAAGGUUGAUGUGUUAAUAGCACAUCAAAUUGACGUUAAAUACAGAAGAAGCACCGCCUAACUCCGUGCCAGCAGCCGCGGUAAUACGGAGGGUGCGAGCGUUAAUCGGAAUAACUGGGCGUAAAGGCCACGCAGGCGGUUAUUUAAGUGAGUUGUGAAAGCCCCGGGCUUAACCUGGGAAUUGCAUUUCAGACUGUUUAACUAGAGUACUUUAGGGAGGGGUAGAAUUCCACGUUUUAGCGUUAAAAUCCUUAAAAAUUUGAAGAAAUACCAAAGCCGAAGGCAGGCCCCUUGGGAAUUUACUAACCCUCAUUUCCAAAACCUUGGAAACCAAACAUAAUUAAAUACCCUUUUAUUCAACCCAAAUUCUUUUAAACCUCCAGACUAGUCCCUUUAUGAGUUUAAUUCUGACCUUCC